ensembl:lncRNA
GUUGAUGUAGACGGCGUGAAAACAGAAACAAGUAUGCCGGCUCACUGUGCUACAUACAGUUACACACUACGUCGUACGAUUGAGACAAGGAAACUUGGAAUGACUUUUCAUAGGUUUCCCAGAGACUAUGGGUUGAGGAGGAAUUGGAAGUUUGUCGGCUUAGACCUGGUGUCAUUCCAUCGGUGUUAAACUUCCCGGCUCAUCUUGGAAGAGUACGUGCCAGAAAGACCACGACCAAGCAGCCUUGAGAUCUUAGGCAGCGUCUCCCUCAGCCACCAACCACUGGAACACAUCUCCAAAGUUCUGCUGGGCCAGCUCAGCUUCCCCUCAGAAGAAGUGCCGCCACCUGCCAGAUGAAGGAGCCUUUUGAGAGGCAGCUGGCAUCGUGAUUGGACUGUACUUUGGUCUGUUCCAAUCCAGCUUCAGCUCCAGAGACGGCAGGCGGGACGAGUCAACGGAGGCCUGGUGGACGAAGGCAUG